rnacentral:SRP_RNA from 1 species
GCUGGGUGUGGUAGCACAUGCCUGUAAUCCCAGCUAUUUGGGAGGCUGAGGCAGGAGAAUUGCUUGAACCUGGGAGGUGGAGGGUGCAGUGAGCUGAGAUCAUGCCACUGCACUCCAGCCUAGGUGACAGAGCAAGACUCUGUCUCAA